rnacentral:rRNA from 1 species
ACGCUCGACACCUACGGGAGGCGGCAGUAGGGAAUCUUCCACAAUGGGCGCAAGCCUGAUGGAGCAACACCGCGUGAGUGAAGAAGGGUUUCGGCUCGUAAAGCUCUGUUGUUGGAGAAGAACGUGCGUGAGAGUAACUGUUCACGGGCAGUGACGGUAUCCAACCAGAAAGUCACGGCUAACUACGUGCCAGCAGCCGCGGUAAUCUGAGCGGGCUGGCAAGGC